CCUACGGGGGGCGGCAGUCGAGAAUAAUUCACAAUGGGCGAAAGCCUGAUGGUGCAACGCCGCGUGGAGGAUGAAGGUCUUCGGAUUGUAAACUCCUGUCAUCGGGGAGUAAGACCUGGCGGUAAAUAGCCGACAGGGUUGAUAGUACCCGAAGAGGAAGGGACGGCUAACUUCGUGCCAGCAGCCGCGGUAAUACGAAGGUCCCAAGCGUUGUUCGGAAUCACUGGGCGUAAAGGGAGCGUAGGCGGCGUGGUAAGUCAGAUGUGAAAUCCCGGGGCUCAACCCCGGAACUGCAUCCGAUACUGCCAUGCUUGAGUAAUGGAGGGGUAGCUGGAAUUCUCGGUGUAGCAGUGAAAUGCGUGGAUAUCGAGAGGAACACUCGUGGCGAAGGCGAGCUACUGGACAUUUACUGACGCUGAGACUCGAAGGCUAGGGGAGCAAAAGGGAUUAGAUACCCCUGUAGUCCUAGCAGUAAACGGUGUGCGCUUGGUGUGAGGGGAUUCGACCCCCCUUGUGCCGGAGCUAACGCGUUAAGCGCACCGCCUGGGAAGUACGGUCGCAAGACUAAAACUCAAAGGAAUUGACG
rnacentral:rRNA from 1 species